UACGGGGGGGGCAAGCGUUGUUCGGAAUUACUGGGCGUAAAGGGCUCGUAGGCGGCCAACUAAGUCAGACGUGAAAUCCCUAGGCUCAACCUAGGAACUGCGUCUGAUACUGGAUGGCUUGAAUCCGGGAGAGGGAUGCAGAAUUCCAGGUGUAGCGGUGAAAUGCGUAGAUAUCUGGAGGAAUACCGGUGGCGAAGGCAGAUCUCUGGGCCGUAACUGACGCUGAGGAGCGAAAGCAUGGGGAGCGAACAGG
rnacentral:rRNA from 1 species